rnacentral:rRNA from 1 species
ACUCCUGCGGGAGGCAGCAGUGGGGAAUUUUGGACAAUGGGCGAAAGCCUGAUCCAGCAAUGCCGCGUGAGUGAAGAAGGCCUUCGGGUUGUAAAGCUCUUUUGUCAGGGAAGAAACGGUGAAAGCUAAUAUCUUUUGCUAAUGACGGUACCUGAAGAAUAAGCACCGGCUAACUACGUGCCAGCAGCCGCGGUAAUACGUAGGGUGCAAGCGUUAAUCGGAAUUACUGGGCGUAAAGCGUGCGCAGGCGGUUUUGUAAGUCUGAUGUGAAAUCCCCGGGCUCAACCUGGGAAUUGCAUUGGAGACUGCAAGGCUAGAAUCUGGCAGAGGGGGGUAGAAUUCCACGUGUAGCAGUGAAAUGCGUAGAUAUGUGGAGGAACACCGAUGGCGAAGGCAGCCCCCUGGGUCAAGAUUGACGCUCAUGCACGAAAGCGUGGGGAGCAAACAGGAUUAGAUACCCGAGUAGUCCCA